rnacentral:rRNA from 1 species
UUUUUGGAGAGUUUGAUUCUGGCUCAGAACGAACGCUGGCGGCGUGGAUAAGACAUGCAAGUCGAACGGGACAUCACGAGUAGCAAUAUGAGUGAUGUCUAGUGGCGAACGGGUGCGUAACACGUGGAUACAUUCCGGGAAGCGGGGGAUAGCCCAGGGAAACUUGGAUUAAUACCGCAUGUGAUCGAGAGAUCAAAGACGGGGACCGCAAGGCCUGUCACUUCCCGAUUGGUCCGCGGCCUAUCAGCUAGUUGGCGGGGUAAAAGCCCACCAAGGCUACGACGGGUAGCUGGUCUUAGAGGACGACCAGCCACACUGGAACUGAGACACGGUCCAGACACCUACGGGUGGCAGCAGUCGAGAAUCUUUCACAAUGGGGGCAACCCUGAUGGAGCGACGCCGCGUGGAGGAUAAGGUCUUCGGAUUGUAAACUCCUGU